AGGGAAAGGUGAAAAGAACCCCUGCGAGGGGAGUGAAAAGAAUCUGAAACCGUGCGUCUACAAGCAGUUGAAGUACAUCAACGUACGACAGCGUGCCUUUUGCAUAAUGAGCCUGCGAGUAACGGUAAGUGGCAAGGUUAAGGCGAUAGCCGCAGCCGAAGCGAAAGCGAGUCUGAAUAGGGCGUCAAGUCGCUUGCCG
rnacentral:rRNA from 1 species